rnacentral:rRNA from 1 species
UACGUAUGGGGCAAGCGUUAUCCGGAUUCAUUGGGCGUAAAGAGCGCGUAGGCGGAUUGUUAAGUCAGAUGUGAAAACUGGGGGCUCAACCCGCAGCCUGCAUCUGAAACUGGCAGUCUUGAGUCUGGUAGAGGAGUGUGGAAUUCCCAGUGUAGCGGUGAAAUGCGCAGAUAUUGGGAGGAACACCAGUGGCGAAGGCGGCACUCUGGGCCACGACUGACGCUGAGGCGCGAAAGCUAGGGGAGCAAACAGG